rnacentral:rRNA from 1 species
UACGUAGGGCGCGAGCGUUGUCCGGAAUUAUUGGGCGUAAAGAGCUCGUAGGCGGUUUGUCGCGUCGGUUGUGAAAACCCAAGGCUCAACCUUGGGCCUGCAAUCGAUACGGGCAGACUAGAGUACUGCAGGGGAGACUGGAAUUCCUGGUGUAGCGGUGGAAUGCGCAGAUAUCAGGAGGAACACCGGUGGCGAAGGCGGGUCUCUGGGCAGUAACUGACGCUGAGGAGCGAAAGCGUGGGAGCGAACAGG